UGGGGAAUAUUGGACAAUGGGCGCAAGCCUGAUCCAGCCAUGCCGCGUGAGUGAAGAAGGCCUUCGGGUUGUAAAGCUCUUUUGUCCGGAAAGAAAAGCUUUCGGUUAAUACCCGGAAGUCCUGACGGUACCGGAAGAAUAAGCACCGGCUAACUUCGUGCCAGCAGCCGCGGUAAUACGAAGGGUGCAAGCGUUACUCGGAAUUACUGGGCGUAAAGCGUGCGUAGGUGGUUCGUUAAGUCUGAUGUGAAAGCCCUGGGCUCAACCUGGGAAUUGCACUGGAUACUGGCGGGCUAGAGUGCGGUAGAGGAUGGCGGAAUUCCCGGUGUAGCAGUGAAAUGCGUAGAGAUCGGGAGGAACAUCCGUGGCGAAGGCGGCCAUCUGGACCAGCACUGACACUGAGGCACGAAAGCGUGGGGAGCAAACA
rnacentral:rRNA from 1 species